GUUUUGGAGUGCAGGCGUGAAUAGUCCUUUCUGUCCUGCUUUGAGUACUGCUGUUGGGUGCCUUGGGGGGACCUUAAGGGAGCUCGGAAGUUGAGACGUGGUGAGUGCGAGAUCACUGCCCACAAAGGGGAGGAGCAGGCGGAUGAACAGCCAGAGCUGCAAUGGUGGAUCCUCCUCCAGGGCUGCAUGGGACGACAGAUAGAUGAGGCUCUAGGACGGGCACAAAUGCUACCCGAAUGCAAACCACUCCGGAGAUCUGUAAAAGGACUGGCCCCGGACAGGAAGCACACUUUAAACUAGAGGCGGGGUAAGACUCGUGGGCCAAUCAAGGCUUCCGAACAGAACUGCCAUUCUGGCAAUGAGGCGGGGUCUUCCGGUUGCCUGCUGGAAGUUUGUUUUUGCUCUGCAGGAUUGAAGGGUUCUCCCUAUGCUGCUUUGAGCGCUGCUAUUGGGUGCCUUGAGGGGACCUCAAGUAAGCUCCAUUUUUGAAACAUGAGUCAAAGCCCCGGUGAAGAUUCUGUGACGGUUCAUUGUAUAAUUUAUGAUGAUGAAGAUUGAGUUGCAUUUUGCGGAAAAGAGAUGUUGAGAUAUCUAAGGCAUUGAGAAAUCUGUCAUGCAGACAUGCACACAGGGAGAGGGAGUACCCAAACUGAUGAGAACUUACAGGAAUUGGACCAUCUAAGCCCUUAGAAAGUGAAGUCCACUGUGUCUCAAACAAAGAUCUUCAUCCACAUCUUGAAGUUUGAAGUUUGGCCAAGAAUAUACAGAGUAGAUUCUCUUUCUCAGGAUGGCAAGUGUUCAUGACAUCAAUACUACCCAAGGCUUCAGAGUCAUUGGAUUGCAGGAUGCAGUAACUUAUGAUGAUGUGCGUGUGAACUUCACUGAGGAAGAGUGGGAUUUGCUGGAUCCUUCCCAGAAAAGUCUCUAUGAAGAGGUGAUGCUGGAGACCUACCAGAACAUCACUGCUAUAGGUAA
rnacentral:lncRNA from 1 species